rnacentral:misc_RNA from 1 species
GAUGAAGAACGCAGCGAAAUGCGAUAAGUAGUGUGAAUUGCAGGUGUAUACGUGAAUCAUCGAAUCUUUGAACGCAAAUUGCACUUUCUGGUAUUCCAGGAAGUAUGCCUGUUUGAGGGUCGCCUAAAUAAACUUCGAUUAUAUUGCUUUUUUUGUAAAUAUAUGUCGGAUUUGGGCUUUUCUUUAUUUUUUUUUAAAUAAAGUGGCUUAAAAUUUUUUUUUUUGGUAUCAUCGAAAAGCGUAUUUUACGAUCAAUGUCGAUCAAAAGAAACGUUGUCGAAUGCCAUCCUUUAUUAAUGUAAUACGUUUGACUUGUGUUAUCAUCUAGUUCAUUCGUAUACGAUUCUUGAUUUUUUGACCUCAAAUCAGGUAAGAGUACCCGCUGAACUUAAGCAUAUCAAUAAGCGGAGGA